rnacentral:rRNA from 1 species
CCUACGGGAGGCAGCAGUGGGGAAUAUUGGGCAAUGGGCGCAAGCCUGACCCAGCAACGCCGCGUGAAGGAAGAAGGCUUUCGGGUUGUUAACUUCUUUUGGCCGGGAAGCGUAGAAGACGGUACCUGACGAAUAAGCCACGGCUGACUACGUGCCAGCAGCCGCGGUAAUACGGGGGUGGCAAGCGUUGUCCGGAUUUACUGGGUGUAAAGGGGGUGUAGCCGGGAUGACAUGGCAGAUGGGAAAACCUGGGGCUUAAACGCAGAACUGCAUUUGAAACUGGUGAUCUUGAGUACUGGAGAGGCAGACGGAAUGCCUAGUGUAGCGGUGAAAUGCGUAGAUAUUAGGAGGAACACCAGUGGCGAAGGCGGUAUGCUGGCCAGCAACUGACGGUGAGGCGCGAAAGCGUGGGGAGCAAACAGGAUUAGAUACCCGGGUAGUC